rnacentral:rRNA from 1 species
UACGUAGGGUGCGAGCGUUAAUCGGAAUUACUGGGCGUAAAGCGUGCGCAGGCGGUUUUGUAAGCCAGAUGUGAAAUCCCCGGGCUUAACCUGGGAAUGGCAUUUGGGGACUGCAAGGCUGGAGUGUGGCAGAGGAGACGUGGAAUUCCUGGUGUAGCAGUGAAAUGCGUAGAUAUCAGGAGGAAUACCGAUGGCGAAGGCAGGUCUCUGGGCUGAACACUGACGUC